GAUGUCCUAUCGAGGCCACACCCCAUGCCUGUCAGUCAGGAGUGUUUGGCCACACUGAAGACGGAUGACCGACUUGUUACUAUCCUUCGUCAUCAAAACUUUCUGAAGGAGAUGCAGGAGAUCGCUGCUCAAGGUGGUCGGGGGAGAGCUGAUACGCCUACAGCAGCAGCACCGACCCUUCAGGCUACAGAUGAUGUCCCUGGUGAGCUGCACCUUCCUAU